GACGGAAGGUGCAAGCGUUGCUCGGAAUUACUGGGCGUAAAGCGUGCGCAGGCGGUUAUGUAAGACAGAUGUGAAAUGCCCGGGCUUAACCUGGGAACUGCAUUUGUGACUGCAUGGCUAGAGUUUGGCAGAGGGGGGUAGAAUUCCACGUGUAGCAGUGAAAUGCGUAGAUAUGUGGAGGAAUACCGAUGGCGAAGGCAGCCCCCUGGGAUAACACUGACGCUCAUGCACGAAAGCGUGGGGAGCAAACAGG
rnacentral:rRNA from 1 species